rnacentral:rRNA from 1 species
UACGUAGGGUGCGAGCGUUAAUCGGAAUUACUGGGCGUAAAGCGUGCGCAGGCGGGCUUUUAAGCCAGACGUGAAAUCCCCGGGCUUAACCUGGGAAUGGCGUUUGGGACUGGAAGUCUGGAGUACGGCAGAGGAGACUGGAAUUCCUGGUGUAGCAGUGAAAUGCGUAGAUAUCUGGAGGAAUACCGGUGGCGAAGGCGGCAUCCUGGACCGGCAUUGACGCUGAGGAGCGAAAGCUAGGGGAGCAAACGGG